AUGAAUGAGCUACUCCUGGAGCGGUCACUGGAAAUAGGAGGAGUGGCCACAGGCAGUGACGCUGGGACCAGAGCAGGAGGCCUGUAAACAAGGAAGCCACCUGGGGGAGACGCAGGGCGGUCACUGGUCCUGGGGAGCAGGUGCUUCCUGAGGCCCGCCCUGGAGAGGGCCCUGGGGGCCGCCCCGCCGAGUCUGCAGCAGGCGCUAGGAGGCGCCGUCUACCGGCUUCCAGAGCCCACCGCUCCCUACCCUGGCUCCCGGGGGUGUGGCCGCGGGAGGGUGUGCCGGCCCAGAGUCCCAGGCCCUGCCGGCCCGGCCUCUCCCUCCCUUCUGUCACCGCAGCCGACUGGCCAAGGGCACCAGCCCUGGAGAGGGCUCGGGGCUCAGCCUGGCCUGCUCUGGUGUGAGCUCAUUCCCCGACACCACCAGUUCCAGUUCCUGCCCCUCCCCCAAAGGCUCGGGUCGCAGGCUGGGGCCUGGCACCCACCCCAAAGUUUGGGAGGGGGCUCGGAGGCCAUCAGGCUCCAGGCCGCCGUUGGCUCUGCCCCCUGGCGCCAGGGAAACAAAGUGAUGGGGGUCUUGCUAGGUUGCCCAGGCUGGUCUUGAACUCCUGACUUCAAGCAGUCCUCCCACCUCAGCCUCCUAGAGUGUUGGGAUUACAGGCAUGAGCCACUGUGCCUGGCCCCCUAUCCCAAUAUCUAUAAGAUGCCAGGAUGCCCAGGAGCCCAAUUUGAAAGACACCGUGCCGCUGACCCACCUCCUGACUUCACAGCUGCUGAAUUGCAGAAGACAAAUUGGUAGCUAACAGGAGGCUCCAUCCUGGAUCCUGCCCCUGGCCAUGAGAUUCAGCCUUGAUUAAUGGUGUUCCCAUGCUGGUUGUGAGCAGGGCAUCAUCCUAGGUCCUUCUUUAUACUCGUUUUCCAUCUCCAGCCAAAAUGGGUUGAACUGAGGAACAAGGACAUACUCUGUAAAAGGGCAAGUGCAAGUCUCUGCUCUGCCCCUACCGGCCAUCAGGCUAAUCAAGCCCUUAGAACCUCAAUUUCUUCUCCUGUAAAAUGGGAAUAACUGUUACAGACCU